AGGAUAAACGCUGGCGGCGUGCCUAACACAUGCAAGUCGAACGCGCUUUCGGGCUUCGGUGCGAGAGCGAGUGGCGGACGGGUGAGUAACACAUGGGUACCUACCUUGGAGUGAGGGAUACCGGCGAGAAAUCGCCGACAAUACCGCAUAGGCUUCUUCACAAGGGAAGCAAAGUGACGCGAGUCACGCUUUGAGAUGGGCCUGUGGCCGAUUAGCUAGUUGGGGGGGUAACGGCUUCCCAAGGCGACGAUCGGUAGCUGGUCUGAGAGGACGAUCAGCCACACUGGGAUUGAGAACGGCCCAGACUCCUACGGGGGCAGCAGUGAGGAAUUUUCCGCAAUGGAGGCAACUCUGACGGAGCAACGCCGCGUGCAGGAGGAAGGUUUUCGGAUCGUAAACUGCUUUUCGUCGGGGAAGAGGAACGGACGGUACCCGAGGAAUCGAGCCCCGGCUAACCUACGCGCCAGCACGGCCGC
rnacentral:rRNA from 1 species